GACGAACGCUGGCGGCGUGCCUAACACAUGCAAGUCGAACGGAGAAUCAGCAAUGAUUCUUAGUGGCGAACGGGUGAGUAACGCGUAGACAACCUGCCUUCUAGAUGGGGACAACACUGCGAAAGUGGUGCUAAUACCGAAUGUUGUAUUAAGCCUGCAUGGGCUUGAUACUAAAGGUGGCCUCUAUUUAUAGGCUAUCACUAGAAGAUGGGUCUGCGUCUGAUUAGCUAGUUGGUGAGGUAAUGGCUCACCAAGGAGAUGAUCAGUAGCCGGUCUGAGAGGAUGAACGGCCACACUGGGACUGAGACACGGCCCAGACUCCUACGGGAGGCAGCAGUGGGGAAUCUUCCGCAAUGGACGAAAGUCUGACGGAGCAACGCCGCGUGAGUGAAGAAGGUUUUCGGAUCGUAAAGCUCUGUCUUUGAGGACGAAUGUGUCUAAUGUGAAUAAUGUUAGAUAAUGACGGUACUCGAGGAGGAAGCCACGGCUAACUACGUGCCAGCCGCCGCCGUAA
rnacentral:rRNA from 1 species